rnacentral:rRNA from 1 species
CGCGGCCUAUCAGCUUGUUGGUGAGGUAAAGGCUCACCAAGGCUUCGACGGAUAGCUAGUCUGAGAGGACGAAUAGCCACACUGGAACUGAGACACGGUCCAGACUCCUACGGGAGGCAGCAGUGGGGAAUCUUGCACAAUGGGCGAAAGCCUGAUGCAGCGACGCCUCGUGGGGGAUGAAGGCCCUAGGGUCGUAAACCCCUUUCAGGAGGGACGAAAAUGACGGUACCUCCAGAAGAAGCCCCGGCCAACUACGUGCCAGCAGCCGCGGUAAGACGUAGGGGGCGAGCGUUGUCCGGAUUUAUUGGGCGUAAAGGGCUCGUAGGUGGUUGCGUAAGUCGGAUGUGAAAACUCAGGGCUUAACUCUGAGACGCCAUCCGAUACUGCGCUGACUUGAGUCCGGUAGAGGAGUGUGGAAUUCCUGGUGUAGCGGUGAAAUGCGCAGAUAUCAGGAGGAACACCUAUAGCGAAGGCAGCACUCUGGGCCGGUACUGACACUGAGGAGCGAAAGCGUGGGUAGCAAACAGGAUUAGAUACCCUGGUAGUCCAUGCCGUAAACGUUGGGCACUAGGUGUGGGUCUCAACCAACGAGAUCCGCGCCGUCGCUAACGCAUUAAGUGCCCCGCCUGGGGAGUACGG